CAAAAACCCUAUAAUUUUUUUGAACUUUACUUGUUUAUAUAUUUUUUAAGGUUAAGCAUGAAACUUGAAAUUUUUUGCAUUAUUCAGUUUAAAUCUACCUCUUUUCCAUCAUAUAUAGGAAGUACUAUUUACUACUUUAUAUACUAUUUAUAUGGCUUCACUUAUAUAUUUUACUUUUCAGAGUUUCAGAAAAAAUUUAUGUUCCAACUUGCUGAAAUGAAAAUAUUUUUAGUAGAUAGAACUAUACUGUUUUCUAAUAAUCCAGAAGAAGGUUUUAAACAAUGUAAAAGUUCAGACAAACUUAAUGUUUUGAAAAAAAAAAUUCGCAAAUGGAGAUAUCCAAUACACACUUUUCUAUACAUGAGUUUCAUCUUUAUAGUUUAUAUGUUAUAUAUUAAUACAAUAUUUAUUUUAAAUUGUCAUAAACAUUUUCAAUGUUUCUUAUGUAUUAUUUCUUUUUAGGUAAAACAGUUAUCAUUAAUUGGCGGUAAAAAUCUAGCUGAUACAAUUAAAAAUAUUUUGCUCUUACUACCAACAGACACUAUUUCAUCAGAAUACAGCAUGAAUUGUUUAAAGAAGAAAAAAAAGUUUAAAGAGUUGACAAGUCUAUGUAACGCUGUCACUAAGGCUGCUUUAAAGUAAAAAAAAACUUAACCAAAAUGGAUGCUAUCCAACUAAUUGGGAGUAUAAUUAGGCAUUCUUCUGACCGAAUAAAGAGAACAUCAACUAAUAUGGAUUUCGAUCGAUGAUGGCUUAAUUAACUGUUGUAUUUUUUUUUAUUUUUU